rnacentral:rRNA from 1 species
UACGAGUGCUCCAAGCGUUAUCCGGAAUUAUUGGGCGUAAAGGGUGUGUAGGCGGUUAUGUUAGUCUUUUGUCAAAACCUUCGGCUUAACCGAAGAUCUGCAAAAGAAACGGCACAACUAGAGGAUGCGAGAGGUGAAUGGAACUCAUGGAGUAGGGGUGAAAUCCGUUGAUAUCAUGGGGAACACCAAAUGCGAAGGCAAUUCACUGGCGCACUCCUGACGCUGAGACACGAAAGCGUAGGUAGCGAAUGGG